AGCAACAUAAAUACAGUCGCAUGCAAUAAUGCAAUAAUAACAAACAGUAACUACCAUAUUAACAACCAUAUGGAGACAUAAGCCAAAACACUAAUCACCUAUGGGUAACCCUACUAUCCCACACCCAACCCUGAGAGAUGCGAACGAAGGACUCUAGGAGCCCCUAGCCUACAAUCCUGAUUCUAGACCUCCAAACCUGCAUUCUGGUCAUGUCCUGUCUAAUCACCUCUCCCCAAUGCUUCUUAGGCCUCUCUCUCCCUCGCCGACCACCAACAAUCUCCAGCCGCUCGCAACUCCUCACCGGGGCAUCGAGGGCCCUCCUCUGAACAUGCCCGAACCACCUCAGUCGCGCUUCUCGCAUCUUCUCGUCCACCGGGGCCACCCCUACCUUCUGUCGAAUAACUUCAUA
rnacentral:lncRNA from 1 species